AAACACGGUGCUUCAGUGGCACAGAAAUGCAAGAGGUGGCGGCCUGGCCAUUGUUUAGGAACCGGGCCAUACGGACAGGUGGAUCUACCCUGCGGAUUGCCGUAAUAGGGUUAUACUGCACUUCUCUUGAUGCUCCUGCCUUUUCCCUCCUCGACUUUGUCUUGUUGUCUCUUAGUGCACUACAGUACGAUCAAUCAGGCAAUUUCAACGCAGGAUUUUUAUUCGGUUAACUGUGAGUCACUUUCAUCCACUUUCCCCAGCCCCACCCCUUGAAAGAAUUAGGGAUUUUCUAUUUAUUUAUUAAUCUAGUGAAUACAGUUAUCCCAUUAGUAUAUCCUUUUAAAGUCCCUGGUAAUACCUAAGAAAAACUAAUAGAGGUGCUUUGCUUUUUUUUUUUUUUCAGUGAAUUAAUGUUAGUGACGUUCUGCAGACCUGUGAGUGGUCAUUUACGGCACCGCGGCUGCUGGCAGGCAUCGCACGCAGCACUGAAGUUCUGCGGCAGCUUCCCUCGCUCUAGAAUAGCUGUGCACGAGCACAGACCUCACCAGGUGCACCCCAAUCAGCAGGGGCAGCCACUGAUGGCCAAGCUCGGCGGCGUGAGCAUCGUGGUGAGGACCAGCAGGGUCAGGAGCCUCCCGGACCGGUGUCCCCUGCAGGUGGCAAGUGGCCCAAACAGAAGAUGUGACCCAGGUCCGGAUGGAGGAGGGCGAAGGUUAACAGUCGGCUGGGUAGGGAGCUGUGCCCCCCUCCUGCCAGAGACCGGAGACCAGCACAGGCCUCGGCUAACUGAACAAAGACGGAGGGUCUGGCAAGGCUGA
rnacentral:lncRNA from 1 species